rnacentral:rRNA from 1 species
UACAGAGGGUGCGAGCGUUAAUCGGAAUUACUGGGCGUAAAGCGUGCGUAGACGGUUAUUUAAGUCGGGUGUGAAAGCCCCGGGCUCAACCUGGGAAUUGCAUUCGAGACUGAAUAGCUAGGGUACGGUAGAGGGAAGUGGAAUUUCCGGUGUAGCGGUGAAAUGCGUAGAUAUCGGAAGGAACACCGGUGGCGAAGGCGGGUCUCUGGGCCGAUACAGACGCUGAGGAGCGAAAGCGUGGGGAGCGAACAGG